ACGGAAGGCAGCAGUCGGGAAUAUUGCGCAAUGGAGGAAACUCUGACGCAGUGACGCCGCGUAUAGGAAGAAGGUUUUCGGAUUGUAAACUAUUGUCGUUAGGGAAGAGAAAGGACAGUACCUAAGGAGGAGGCUCCGGCUAACUACGUGCCAGCAGCCGCGGUAAUACGUAGGGAGCGAGCGAUAUCCGGAAUUAUUGGGUGUAAAGGGUGCGUAGACGGGAAAAUAAGUUAGUUGUGAAAUCCCUCGGCUCAACUGAGGAACUGCAACUAAAACUGUUUUUCUUGAGUGCAGGAGAGGUAGGUGGAAUUCCUAGUGUAGCGGUGAAAUGCGUAGAUAUUAGGAGGAACACCGGUGGCGGAGGCGACUUACUGGACUGUAACUGACGUUGAGGCACGAAAGUGUGGGGAGCAAACAGGAUUAGAUACCCUGGUA
rnacentral:rRNA from 1 species